GUAGGUGGCAAGCGUUGUCCGGAAUUAUUGGGCGUAAAGCGCGCGCAGGCGGUUCUUUAAGUCUGAUGUGAAAGCCCACGGCUCAACCGUGGAGGGUCAUUGGAAACUGGAGAACUUGAGUACAGAAGAGGAAAGCGGAAUUCCACGUGUAGCGGUGAAAUGCGUAGAGAUGUGGAGGAACACCAGUGGCGAAGGCGGCUUUUCUGGUCUGUAACUGACGCUGAGGCGCGAAAGCGUGGGGAGCAAACAGGGAUUAGAUACCCUGGUAGUCCACGCCGUAAACGAUGAGUGCUAAGUGUUAGGGGGUUUCCGCCCCCUUAGUGCUGCAGCUAACGCAUUAAGCACUCGCCUGGGGAGUACGGCCGCAAGGCUG
rnacentral:rRNA from 1 species